AUGUUGAGAGAUGAAUGUGGACAAAAGAGCCUUGAAAUGCAGGGAGUUCAACGCGGGAUUCACAAAGCGAUUUCUGUUGAAAGAUGGAUCAGUAUCCUGUUUAUUUGGACCAGCUGCUCCACUGAAUCACAACCCAAUGUCACAUCUGUCUCCAUGGCUGCGGAAAGCUCAUCUCUCCUAUGCUGAUCCGAGACCAGCCUCUCUAGAUGAACCCAAACAAGAGCCAUUGUGAAGGUAAUCUCAAAACCAGUCUGAGAUCAGGGUGAGAGAGUGACUUCCACCAAUACCAUCUCCAUAGCAGUAGAAACAGGAUCAGCACAAGAAAGACCCUUGUCCUCGCAUAAAAAAACCUAGACUUCUUCGCAGAGCAAAAACAAACACUCCCACCCUUUCAACGAGGCACUGAGGCACAGAUUAUGAGGCAGUGCACAAGACAAACCAUGUUCCACGAACAGACAAUAACUCAGAGACCACCCUGAGGACAUUUACACUCGGGAGCCCCUGACGAGGCUUCUUUGUCGUGUUUACUCAAACCCAAACUCAACUGCAUGAAUUUAGUUUUUUCCAAACCCAGUGAGCUGCUUCCAUUUAGCCUAAGAUACAUCUAACACACACACACACACACACACACACACACACACACACACAGUUGGGCUCAUAAGUUUACACACCCCUUGCAGAAGGUGCAAAAUGUUAAUACCUGAAAUAAAUAAAAGGGAUCAUGAAAAUUGCA
ensembl:lncRNA